rnacentral:miRNA from 8 species
ACCCGUCCCGUUCGUCCCCGGA